rnacentral:lncRNA from 1 species
CUCGCCACAAGCUGGAUUACUGGAAAUACAGAUGAAGGAUGAGUAACGCUGAAAAGGUAUUACUGGCAACACAUGUCCUGGAAGCCUGAGUUCAGCUACGAUCAACCAUGGAGGGCACAUCACUUCCACUUCUUGAACUUGCCGCCGCCGAACAUGCCGUGCCCGUGCUUGCCAUGCUUGAACUUGCCGUGCCCGUGCUUGAACUUGCCGUGGUGGCCGUGACCAUGCUUGAACUUGCCGUGGCCACCAUACCCGUGGCCGUAACCACCGUGACCAUAGCCUCCAAAGGCCCCAUGUCCACCGUGUCCGCUAUGGCCAUGAGAAAGC